rnacentral:lncRNA from 1 species
CUUGGAUCUGGUACCUGUAAACAAAAUCCCCUGACCAUCACACGGAUAUAUUCUUUAGCUACAAAUAUGGUCCAGGUCUGCUGUUAAAACUGGGACACUGGCGGCCAGGAAUACAAGAGCAAUUGAGACAGGAAAAGGUAAGAGAAUGUAAUUGUGAUCUAGCUGUUACAGUACUGCGUUGCAGAUUUCCAUGGUCCUAGGUCCUGUUUCCCUAAUUAGCCUCAUUUAAAUCCAAUAUAAAGUAUUGGAACAAUUAGGAACAAUUUCCAACUACAUAAACCCUAAAAAGUAUUAGAGAUUGUGAUUUUUACAGCAUAUUACUUGUAUAAAUGUAGCAUUUAUAUACUUUUAUAGUGUAUGGAAGGUACACAAAGAUUGACUGAUGUUAUUGCAAUAAUGUCUUGUAGUGAUGAUGUAAUGUCAAUUGAAGUGUGUAUCAUUUAUGGAGUACUGAAUUAAAGGCUUCCAUAUCCUGAAAAUUCUUUACUAUCAGUCGUGGACUUCUGGAAACUGGGCAUAGCCAUAGGGAUGGAACAGAUGUGUCUGCAUCAGUUGUUCUAGUGCUUAUGACGUACUCAGAUGUUCUCUGAGGGUUUUCAUCUCUGCUAGGAUGAAGCUGCUAGCAAUAACAGUGGGCGCUGGUGUCAGGAAUCAAUAUACAGAGAUGAGGAAUCAUGCUACAGACAGAUUCCAGGAGAAGAAUGCAAAGAUCAAAGUGGGACAGCAAAAAGAGAGCAAGUCAGAGAAAGGUUCCACAUCUUCUCUUGACAAGGAAAUGAUGAGGCUCUUCAUUGUGGAUUGCUAGCAGCUCAACUAAGGAACAAUUAAAAGAAAGAAAGCACUGAUAUCCUUCCUUUUAGUCACAUAGUAUAUUCACUCACUGGACAAUUUCUAUGACUAUGCGUCACAGUUUACAGCUCUGUAAUAUUUUUGAAGUGGUUAGUCAUUGUUUCUGUUCAAUUCCUUUAACAAUUCUUAGGUGACUAACUUAAGCUUUCUGCAAAUGUGAAAAAUUAUUGUUCUAGAAUGCAGUCAUUUAUGGCUGCAGGCUGAAAAACCCUACAAGACUUCAUCAGAUAUCAACAGCAGGAAAAAAAAAAAAAAAAAAAAAAACAUGAUUUUUUUUCUGCUAAAUAAAAAAAAAUGUUUUUAUUCA